ACCCCUGGUAACAACAGUGCCAAUCAAACCCAGCAUUGAACGCAGACAGCCUUGACUAAGCAACUCCGGGAAGAGCUGUCAGCCAUGGAGCUGUCACAACCUCAUCAGCUCUGCAUGGAAGGAGCCACUGCUUGAUAUUCUCGCCUUACGCUGGGUGUCAAGACUGUGCUCCGUGCUUGACAGGGAGAUGGCUUCCUGAGCCGAGAAUCUGCCUCCCAGGCAUCAGCACUUGCUGCCGGGAUUGUGGGGGAUGGAUUGUGGCUGGGCUCAGCUGCUCUAGUUGCAGUUAGGCAGGAGGGUGUACGGAGGAUGGAAUUUACUGGUGCUUUGGGGUUUUCAGAGUGUGGGAAGUCAAACAGGAUCCUCUGGCCCCCAAACUGUGUGGCCAAUAAACAGAUGCUGUGUGCUGCUCCAGAGGUGGCUGCCCUGAAGUGGAGGGUUAAGUGAUCCUUGUGUGGCCUAGCAGACAGGGUGCUGGACUGGACCAGAAUAGCCCUGGCUUCUAUUCCUGGCUCUGGUAACGGCCUGCUGGGUAACCUUGGACAAGUCACUACGUCCCUCUGUGCCUCAGUUUCCCCGUCAGUAAAAUGGGGAUAAUGACAGUGACCUGCAUGGCAAUGCACCUUGGGAGCUAUGUAAGAGCGAGGUAUUCUUGGUACAACCCCCACUCCCCCCGGAGGGGUAACGAAUGCUCUGAGUGGCUCCGCAGGAAGCUGCUAGAGAAGCUCAGGGGGGUGUAAUCCUGCUGACUUUGCUUUGUUUAGGGUUUUUUACUUUACCCUUAAAUCACUUACACCCUCUGCUUCAAAAUCCCACCCCUGACUCCGUAAUGACACCUCCCUCCUUUCCCAUCAGGGGCUGAUCCCAGAGAGCCUCUUCUCCACUCCUCCAGUUCGUCUUAUUGCCCUGGAGUGGUGCCGUCGCCCUCCCACAUAAUGAUGGUGCAGGUGACAUUAGAAGCAGGGAGCAAUGUGACCAGAGAGAAAGCGGCUCAGGGGAGACCAGACCACAGCUCUGGGAUAAAAAAAAAAAACGUAAACUUCAUCUUGCAGCUGAGACGCCUUUAGAAACCGUCUCCGGGAGGAGAGGGGGGAAGUUUUGUGCUCUGGUUAUCUGCAAAUAGUCUGUAAUUUCUGAGGAGACGAGACAUGCACGCCAGGGCUGAGGAGCACCCGGCACAGUGGGGGAGCCAGUCUGUGCGGCGGGGACCCGGAUUGAGAGCAGAGUCCUGCAGGGAAACACAAGGUACUAUCAGCCUCCAGUAACCAAGGCCAGGAGCUCUCUCUAUUAUUUACAUUAGGGUAGCAGCUGUGAGGAAGGACGGCCCAGUGGUUAGGCACUAGCCAGGCACAUGGGAGACCUGGGGGUCAUGUCCCUGCUCUGCCACAGAAUCCCCAUGCGAUGUUGGGCAGGUUACUGCAGCUCUGUGCCUCCGUUUCCCCCGCUGUACACUGGGGAUACGAGACCUGCCUGGCCUCCUGGAGGGGUUGGAAGGAUAAAUGUACUAAGGCUGUGAUGUGCUUAGAUUCAAGGCAGUACCUAAGAGAGAGGCCCCAGCUGAGAGCAUGGCCCCAUUGCGCUGUGCAGGGACAGUCCCUGCUACAAAAAUCUGAACACACGUCACCAGGUUCUGAGCCUCAUUUGACAGCUGGAGAAUGGGGGCAUGGAGUGGUAAGCCUCAGCUUUGGAAAGGUAUUUAACUCCCAUGGGCACUAAGUGACUUCCCCAUGGUCGCACCAGGAGCCAGCGGCAGAGGUCUGCCAUGUCCCAAGCCAACGUCACAACGCAUCUGGUGCGGUGCCCAGCGCACCUAGCGCCCGGGGCAGCAGCUGGUGGAAGGUCUCGUGCCGGUCCUGCACACCAGGCUGUCCAUUGCUUUGGGGGUGGGGGGAGGGUGCCAGGCAAGAGUGGCUCUUGUGCUCCAGGGGGAUCUCAGAGGGCAUAAGUCCCAGACAAAGUGGGUGCAGGGAGUUGCCAAUCUUAGUGGGAAGCACCGAAGGACUCUCCAGUUACUCACCCUCCCCUGUGGCCAACCUGCAGAGCCCAUGCUAGGCAUAGGCAGACCAAGCAAUUGUUUAGGGCUCCGAGCAGCUCAAGGGGCCCCCUAUUUGCUUUUUAUUAUACGAGCUUGCCUGGUUUAGUGGGUGUGGGGGAAUAUUCCUGCAUAGAGCCCCCAGUGGGCUAGCCCUGGCUCGGCCAACUUGGUAUUAGCCUGUGUCAUCCCUGGCUCCCUGGCGUCAGCGCUGGGCCUGGUAGGAUUCUGCGUACUCCUUUUCCUUGCUCGCUAAUUAAUUCCCCAGCUGCAGAGUCUGGCUGAUCAAUGGCUGGGACAGCUGUGGGGAAUUCCGUCUGCGGCUGCUAGUCACCGUGAGUCCCGCGCUGUCACGGCUUCCCGCAGCAGCCAGCCACACGCUGGGCUGAGUCCCUCCUGUGAAAGGCCUGGGGAGGAGCCCCGGAGACCAGAGCAGGGACAGCUGGGUUGUGCAGAGAGACGUUCCCCCCUCCAGGCCACCCCUGCCAGCGUGUCCCUGUGAACAGGUUUGGCCUGUGGGCGGGGCCUCCAGGCCCCCGCUGUCCUAGCUCGGCCCCCCAGGAGGGAGGCAAAAGGUGAGCUGGGCUUGUGAGGAGCGGGGCUUUCAGGGCCCUGGGUUCAGGCCCUGGAUGUGCCGCAGGCUUCCCUGUAUGCUGUUGUCCCUGGGGGUGGGGCACAGGGGGCUGGUGCUGCCAAGGGGCCUGGGCACCUCCUGGGGUGUGGUCUCUGCUGCUGUCCUAUCGACCCAGUGUGAAUCAGGAGUGACUUCAGGUGUGAGCAGAGGAGAAUCGGGCUCCUAAUUGCCUCCCCCUUCCAGCCCCUGGUGAAGCCUCCCAGCAGCAUUUCCACUUCAGGCUCCGUCUCUCUGCGUCACCAUUUGUAAUGGGGAUGGCAGCCACCAGAUCCUGCCCCCUGAGCUGAAAGGCAAAACCGGCGUCUGUUGCUCUGAGACUGGCUGGAGGUGGGAGGACAUAUGCCAAGGCCCCUUCAGCCUUAAAAAGGGGCCAAAAACGGCCCUCGCUCACCUGGGGCCUCCUGGCCAGCAAGGAGAUGCAGUAAGGGCCCUGCUUCCAGCCCCCAGUGCAGGGAUGGAUAUGGGGCAUUCCUGAAAUACACUGCUUCGGGGAGGGAGGGGAGAGCAUGGGCAGGAGAGUAAGAGUUAGAACAGCCCUGGGGCUGCUCUAACUGCCUCACAGGGACACCACUGGUAGCGGGAGUGGGCUGCUGCCAUUGUUAUCCACGAUCCACCAAGCAGUGAGUCGGAGCUGGAGGCUGGGAUAGCCGUUGAAUUGCAGAAACAUCCUUCCCUCUGGGAUCUGAUAGGAAAAUCCCAGAGACAGCUCACCACUGCCCCCAGCAAGGGAUUUGCAGGGCAGGCGGAAACCACUCUCUCCCCUUGGCCAAUUUGCAUAAUCUAAUUUGCCUUGUGGCUCAUUAAACCUCACACUGCAAUGAAUUCCCUGCUGUGGAGCCAGGGAUUCCAGUCCCUGAGCUAAAAGGGGAAGUACAGAGGGCCGACCUGCGGCUGUGUGAACGUGCCCAAAGCCUGCUCUGCGCCCGCCUGUGUGAGAUGAACAGUGUUCGGGGUAAGCGCCAGGUAAUGGAGCCCGGGGACAUUUCGCGCUUUGAAACUUUUGAAAACGGCUUGUUUCCCAUUUGUAACUUUUUCCAUUUUUGAUGAGAGAGCCGCCCAGACCUGAACUACUACUGUUUUGAGAAGUGAAGAAAAGAUGGUUGGUUGGUUUUUCUUUUUCCAGUUAUUACACCCUGGCCUU